rnacentral:misc_RNA from 1 species
UUUCCGUAGGUGAACCUGCGGAAGGAUCAUUACCGAGUGUCGGGCCCUCCUGGGUCCACCCUCCCACCCGUGUCUUCCGCCCCUUGUUGCUUCGGCGGGCCCGCCCACUGGGGCGGCCAGGGGGCCCUCGCGCCCCCAGUUUGGCGCCCGCCGGAGACGUCCACGCCAACACUGUGUGAGGGUUGCCGUCUGAGUGGAUUUUUCCAAUCGUUAUAACUUUCAACAACGGAUCUCUUGGUUCCG